rnacentral:rRNA from 1 species
GACGAACGCUGGCGGCGUGCUUAACACAUGCAAGUCGAACGGAAAGGCCCUGCUUUUGUGGGGUGCUCGAGUGGCGAACGGGUGAGUAACACGUGAGUAACCUGCCCUUGACUUUGGGAUAACUUCAGGAAACUGGGGCUAAUACCGGAUAGGAGCUCCUGCUGCCUGGUGGGGGUUGGAAAGUUUCGGCGGUUGGGGAUGGACUCGCGGCUUAUCAGCUUGUUGGUGGGGGAGUGGCUUACCAAGGCUUUGACGGGUAGCCGGCCUGAGAGGGUGACCGGCCACAUGGGGACUGAGAGACGGCCCAGACUCCUACGGGAGGCAGCAGUGGGGAAUAUGGCACAAUGGGCGGAAGCCUGAUGCAGCAACGCCGCGUGCGGGAUGACGGCCUUCGGGUUGUAAACCGCUUUCGCCUGUGACGAAGCGUGAGUGACGGUAAUGGGUAAAGAAGCACCGGCUAACUACGUG